rnacentral:misc_RNA from 1 species
GAUGAAGAACGCAGCGAAAUGCGAUAAGUAAUGUGAAUUGCAGAAUUCAGUGAAUCAUCGAAUCUUUGAACGCACAUUGCGCCCGCCAGUAUUCUGGCGGGCAUGUCUGUUCGAGCGUCAUUUCAACCAUCAAGCCCCAGGCUUGUGUUGGGGACCUGCGGCUGCCGCAGGCCCUGAAAACCAGUGGCGGGCUCGCUGUCACACCGGGCGUAGUAGAUUUUAUCUCGCUCAGGGCGUGCUGCGGGUUCCGGCCGUUAAAAAGCCUUUUUUACCCAAGGUUGACCUCGGAUCAGGUAGGAAUACCCGCUGAACUUAAGCAUAUCAAUAAGCGGAGGA